rnacentral:rRNA from 1 species
UCNNCUCUAGCAUUACUAGUAUUAGAGGCANNGCCUGCCCAGUGACAAACGUUUAACGGCCGCGGUAUCCUGACCGUGCAAAGGUAGCAUAAUCACUUGUUCCUUAAUUAGGGACUAGCAUGAAUGGCAACACGAGGGUUUAACUGUCUCUUUCUUCCAAUCAGUGAAAUUGACCUCCCCGUGAAGAGGCGGGGAUAAAACAAUAAGACGAGAAGACCCUAUGGAGCUUUAAUUUUUUAAUUCAAUAUUUUCGCAACUUCACCCCAUAGGGGCCUAACCAAGAAAAUUUCUGAAUUAAAAAUUUUGGUUGGGGUGACCUCGGAGCAAAAACUAACCUCCGAAUGAUUAAAGCCUAGACCCAACAAGUCAAAGCAUUAAAAAUCAUAAAUUGACCCAAAUCCUUUUUUGAUCAACGGAACAAGUUACCCUAGGGAUAACAGCGCAAUCCUAUUUUAGAGUCCCCAUCGACAAUAGGGUUUACGACCUCGAUGUUGGAUCAGGACAUCCCAAUGGUGCAACCGCUAUUAAU